CACAGGCUGACUCUUGCUGACAUCUGUGUCCGUCCUGGCCACACCCAGGGCUCUAGGACCAGCCUUGUAUUGGUGAGAACUCCUACCCAGGGUGGGUGGGGGUGAGUGGGAAGGGGAGACAGGAGACAGGGAGGAGUCCUCUGAAUUACUGUGGGCCUUCCUUGGCUCCAAAGUGAAAGAUAAUUUGGCCCUUUAGAGUGAGCUGCCAGAGGAAUGCUGGGGUUGCCUGUGGCCUCGCCUCCCCCAUCUCAGGGUGGACCUGCCCAGGCCCUUUGGCUGCCCAAGGGACCUCUUCUUUAGUGUCCUUCUCCACCCCAAGCCCAAGGCUAAUGCCUUCCCAGGACCUCACCCAUGCUCUGCCUCACUUCCCUGGCAUCUGAGACCCAGGAAAAUGUGAGAGGCUGCUUCUCCAGGUCCCCUCCUGUCUGGUGCCCUAGUCACCAGCUUGUCCUGCUCCUGUAGGGAUGUUUCCAGUCAUGCAGCCUCUGGGCUGCUGGAGAGCUCUGCACCUGUCUGGAGCCUCACCUGCAGAAUUCUGGCAGGAAGCAGCUCUGUGUUCUGGAGCCAAGGCCUGGCAGGGCAGGGCUGGAACAGGAAUUAGGCCUCAGUCACAGCUGCUUCCUGCCACUUACUGCAUGAGGAGUCUUUUAAAGCCUGUAACUUUCUAGUACCCAGGAGUCCUCAUAGGAUAUGGGAAGGGGCAGGGGGGAAGAUGUAGGAAAGGACGGCCAAACAACCCAGAGAACAGCCUGUGCCAGAGCUGGCCUUACCUUCUUCCAUCUGAGAACUCUCCUCUUCAUCAUUUGUGGCCAUUUGGGUCCCUGACUCACUGGACAGUGGCACUGAUAUCUCCAAACAGGUUACAAAAAGGCCUUUUGUCUCCCAGAUCCCAGGAGCCGUGGCCAAGCCAGCAAGCAGGUAUAGGAGUUCCCAGCAGGCUGUGUGCUCAGGGCAGCUCAGAAGAGCACCAGUGGAUGGGCAAGCACAGCACGGAAGCUGAGGCUUGGAGGAAGGGUGGAGCCAGGGACAUGGGGGUGCAGCCUCCAGCUCCGGUGCAGGUCUUCUCAGAGGUGCCUCUGCAGUCUUCCCCAACACACUCACUCACUUAUCAGAUGUCCCUGAGGUAUUCUCUUUGCAGGCUCUACAUUGGCCCCUGGGAAUACAAAGAGGAAUUAAGCACUGUUUCCAACCAAAGUAGCUCACAGUCUAGUGGGAGAGUCCCAGAGCUAGAGUUACAGUACAGUGUGGAGGCUACUAUGAUGAGGAAGGCCUAAUGCAGCUCUGGGGCAGGUGGGGGACAAAAGAAGGCCUCUUGGAGGAGUCACUCCUGAGCUGGACCCUGAAGGAAGAGUUAGGAGUGAGUGGGCGAAAGGAAUUACAAGCAAAGGGAACAGCAUGUGUAGACCCAAAAGACCAUGCUCCCUUCAGGAAACUGGAGGUGUGCUGUGUGGAUCAAGCAUGGCGCAAUGAGGGUGGUGUGUCAGAACGUGCUGCCUAAUGCCUCCAAUGCUGUGACCUGUGCAUCCCCUUCCUGCUAUUGGAUGAAGGCUGGAGACACCCCAUCCACUGUCCAGAGGACGGAGCCCUGGGGUCUGGAGAGGACAGGACAUGUGAGAGGCAGAGCCUCCCAUCCCCAUCCCUCAGGCCCUGCCCUCUUGCCUCUGCCAGCCUCCCCCACUGCACCUCAGCAGGCCACAGAAGCCCCUGGGAACUGCCUUCCAGCCCCGUUUGCUGCCUCCUCUUCCUCCUCCUCCCCACUCCUAAAACCAGAAAGCCAGCCUCGCUGCUGAGCACCUCUGACUGGUCAUCAAUUCAGUGAGGCCCUGGGGCCUAGGCUGGGUGGGUGUGGGGUGGUCCCAGCCCUGCAGGGGAAAGGGAGAGGACAGGGUUGGGAGUGGGUCCCUGAACAGCCUUGACACAGCACUACCCUCCAGCUGUACUUCAGUCCCUGGGAAGAGAGGGAGGAGGGCAGGAUCUAAGAGGCCAGCCAGGACCCCACAUUCAAGCACAGGGAGACUGAGUCCCUGAUUUUAGAGUGACAACAUGGCUUAAGAGGGGAAAAUGGCUUAGGCCUUGGAGUUACACAGAUUUGGGUUUAAGUUUAGACUCUCGCUUAUUAGUGGGCUACCUUAAGCACAUCACCUAACCUCCUUAGAUUUAGUGUCAUUGAUACAGUAGAUGAGUAGUGCUGUGCAUCUUUCAGCAUUAUUUUUUAAAUUAGAUAAGAUGAAAUCUAGAAGCAUCUAGCAUAGAGAACUUAGUAAGUUCUCAGUCUAUAGCAAAUAGUAAUGUUAUUUUUUUUAUUAUUACUGGUGGUGAUUUUGCUGUUAGAAAAGCCCAAUUAUCCCAGGGAGCAAAGCAUUUUUCUGUCAGGCUGUAGGACUUGACCUAGGAGGUGACCCAGAAGCAGGGGUCAGAGGCCAGGCCUAGAGGAGGGAGAGACAAGGAGCCUCCUGGUGAAAGGCAGCAGGGCUGGACCAUAGGGCAGAUGGGGCCACCACAUCCCCAGAUGUAAGGCCUCUUAUUGGACCAGGCCCAAAUGGGGAUUGAGUGAUGUCCACCUGCACCUGCACCUGUUCCCUGUUCAAGCCUGAGAGGGAUGCAGAGCCUUAGCGUGGACUCUCUCCUGGGAGACUCAGUGCAGGCCUCCUGCUGCCGAGCCAGCAUUCACCACCCAGCCCAGGCUUCUCACCAAGCCUCUGAGACCAGCCCUUCGAGGAUUCUCCACCAUUUCCUUUGCGGCCAUCACCAGUGGCCGCAGCUCUUUCUCCCAUGCCUCUUAUCCCUGGGAGGGCCAGGAGAUUUCAUGUCACUGCCUUUUGCCACAUCUUAACCAUUGCUCCUCUACCCUCAGAUAAAAAUGCUCAAGAAUGGGGACUCCCUCAGCUCCUCUUCCUCACUGUCUUCUGUAAGCUCUUUGUCACUGCCUCAUAAUUAUUGCCAUGUCAUUCUCCUCCUCCUGCUCCCCUUCCCGCCACUCUUCCUCCCCCUCCCCCUCCUGCUCCUCUUCCCACCACUCUCCCCCUCCUCCUGCUCCUCUUCCUGCCACUCUUCCUCUCCCUCUUCCUGUUCCUCUUCCUGCCACUCUUUCCCCUCCUCCUGCUCCCUUUUCCACCACUCUUCCUCCCCUUCCUGCUCCUCUUCCCACCACUCUUCCUCCUCUUCCUGCCACUCUUCUCCCCCUCCUCCUGCUCCUCUUCCCGCCACUCUUCCUCGCCCUUCUCCUGCUCCUCUUCCCACCACUCUUCCUCCUGCUCCUCUUCCUGCCACUCUUCCUCGCCCUUCUCCUGCUCCUCUUCCCACCACUCUUCCUCCUGCUCCUCUUCCCGCCACUCUUCCUCGCCCUUGUCCUGCUGCUCUUCCCGCCACUCUUCCUCUUCCUCCUCCUGCUCCUCUUCCCACAACUCUUCCUCCUCCUCCCCCUGCUUCUCUUCCUACCACUCUCCCUCCCCCUCCUCCUCUUCCUGCCACUCUUCCUCCUCUUCCUCCUCCUGCUCCUCUUCCCACCACUCUUCUCCUCCCCCUCCUCCUCCUCCUGUUUCUCUUCCUGCCACUCUUCCUUCUCUUCCUCCUGUUCCUCUUCCCGCCACUCUUCCCCCUCCUUCUGCUCCUCUUCCCGCCACUUUUCCUCCCCCUCCUCCUGUUCCUUUUCCUGCCACUCUUCCCCCUCCUUCUGCUCCUAUUCCUGCCACUCUUCCUCCCCCUCCUCCUGCUCCUCUUCCCGCCAUUCUUCCUCCCCUGCCUCCUCCUGCUCCUCUUCCCGCCAUUCUUCCUCCCCUGCCUCCUCCUGCUCCUCUUCCCGCCAUUCUUCCUCCCCUGCCUCCUCCUGCUCCUCUUCCUGCCACUUUUCCUCCCCCUCCUCCUGUUCCCCUUCCCGCCACUCUUCCUCCUCCUUCUGUUCCUCUUCCCACCACUCUUCAUCCUCCUCCUUAUGUUCCUCUUCCUGCCACUUUUCCUCCCCCUCCUCCUCCUGCUCCUCUUCCUGCCACUCUUCCUCCCCUCCUCCUGCCCCCCUUCCUACCACUCUUCCUCCCCUCCUCCUGUUCUCCUUCCUGCCACUCUUCCUCCCCUCCUCCUGUUCUCCUUCCUGCCACUCUUCCUCCCCUCCUCCUGUUCUCCUUCCUGCCACUCUUCCUCCCCUCCUCCUGUUCUCCUUCCUGCCACUCUUCCUCCCCUCCUUCUGUUCUCCUUCCUGCCACUCUUCCUCCCCUCCUCCUGUUCUCCUUCCUGCCACUCUUCCUCCCCUCCUCCUGUUCCUCUUCCUGCCACUCUUCCUCCCGUUCCUCUUCCUGCCACUCUUCCUCCCCUCCUCCUGUCCUCCUUCCUGCCACUCUUCCUUCCCUCCUCCUGUUCUCCUUCCUGCCACUCUUCCUCCCCUCCUCCUGUUCUCCUUCCUGCCACUCUUCCUCCCCUCCUCCUGUUCUCCUUCCUGCCACUCUUCCUCCCCUCCUCCUGUUCUCCUUCUUGCCACUCUUCCUCCCCUCCUCCUGUUCUCCUUCCUGCCACUCUUCCUCCCCUCCUCCUGUUCUCCUUCCUGCCACUCUUCCUCCCCUCCUCCUGUUCCUCUUCCUGCCACUCUUCCUCCCCUCCUCCUGUCCUCCUUCCUGCCACUCUUCCUCCCCUCCUCCUGUUCUCCUUCCUGCCACUCUUCCUCCCCUCCUCCUGUUCUCCUUCCUGCCACUCUUCCUCCCCUCCUCCUGUUCUCCUUCCUGCCACUCUUCCUCCCCUCCUCCUGUUCUCCUUCCUGCCACUCUUCCUCCCCUCCUCCUGUUCUCCUUCCUGCCACUCUUCCUCCCCUCCUCCUGUUCUCCUUCUUGCCACUCUUCCUCCCCUCCUCCUGUUCUCCUUCCUGCCACUCUUCCUCCCCUCCUCCUGUUCUCCUUCCUGCCACUCUUCCUCCCCUCCUCCUGUUCUCCUUCCUGCCAGUCUUCCUCCCCUCCUCCUGUUCUCCUUCUUGCCACUCUUCCUCCCCUCCUCCUGUUCUCCUUCCCGCCACUCUUCCUCCCCUCCUCCUGUUCUCCUUCCCGCCACUCUUCCUCCCCUCCUCCUGUUCUCCUUCCCACCACUCUUCCUCCCCCUCCUCCUGUUCCUCUUCCCGCCACUCUUCCCCCUCCUUCUGCUCCUCUUCCCACCAUUCUUCCUCCCCUGCCUCCUCCUGCUCCUCUUCCCGCCAUUCUUCCUCCCCUGCCUCCUCCUGCUCCUCUUCCCACCAUUCUUCCUCCCCUGCCUCCUCCUGCUCCUCUUCCUGCCACUUUUCCUCCCCCUCCUCCUGUUCCCCUUCCCGCCACUCUUCCUCCUCCUUCUGUUCCUCUUCCCACCACUCUUCACCCUCCUCCUUCUGUUCCUCUUCCUGCCACUUUUCCUCCCCCUCCUCCUGCUCGUCUUCCUGCCACUUUUCCUCCCCUCCUCCUGCUCCUCUUCCUGCCACUCUUCCUCCCCUCCUCCUGCCCCCCUUCCUAUCACUCUUCCUCCCCUCCUCCUGUUCUCCUUCCUGCCACUCUUCCUCCCCUCCUCCUGUUCUCCUUCCUGCCACUCUUCCUCCCCUCCUCCUGUUCUCCUUCUUGCCACUCUUCCUCCCCUCCUCCUGUUCUCCUUCCUGCCACUCUUCCUCCCCUCCUCCUGUUCUCCUUCCUGCCACUCUUCCUCUCCUCCUCCUGUUCUCCUUCCUGCCACUCUUCCUCCCCUCCUCCUGUUCCUCUUCCCGCCACUCUUCCCCCUCCUUCUGCUCCUCUUCCCGCCAUUCUUCCUCCCCUGCCUCCUCCUGCUCCUCUUCCCGCCAUUCUUCCUCCCCUGCCUCCUCCUGCUCCUCUUCCCGCCAUUCUUCCUCCCCUGCCUCCUCCUGCUCCUCUUCCUGCCACUUUUCCUCCCCCUCCUCCUGUUCCCCUUCCCGCCACUCUUCCUCCUCCUUCUGUUCCUCUUCCCACCACUCUUCACCCUCCUUCUUCUGUUCCUCUUCCUGCCACUUUUCCUCCCCCUUCUCCUCCUGCUCCUCUUCCUGCCACUUUUCCUCCCCUCCUCCUGCUCCUCUUCCUGCCACUCUUCCUCCCUUCCUCCUGCCCCCCUUCCUACCACUCUUCCUCCCCUCCUCCUGUUCUCCUUCCUGCCACUCUUCCUCCCCUCCUCCUGUUCUCCUUCCUGCCACUCUUCCUCCCCUCCUCCUGUUCCUCUUCCUGCCAUUCUUCCUCCCCUCCUCCUGUCCUCCUUCCUGCCACUCUUCCUCCCCUCCUCCUGUUCUCCUUCCUGCCACUCUUCCUCCCCUCCUCCUGUUCUCCUUCCUGCCACUCUUCCUCCCCUCCUCCUGUUCUCCUUCCUGCCACUCUUCCUCCCCUCCUCCUGUUCUCCUUCCUGCCACUCUUCCUCCCCUCCUCCUGUUCUCCUUCCUGCCACUCUUCCUCCCCUCCUCCUGUUCUCCUUCCUGCCACUCUUCCUCCCCUCCUCCUGUUCUCCUUCCUGCCACUCUUCCUCCCCUCCUCCUGUUCUCCUUCCUGCCACUCUUCCUCCCCUCCUCCUGUUCUCCUUCCUGCCGCUCUUCCUCCCUUCCUCCUGUUCUCCUUCCUGCCACUCUUCCUCCCCUCCUCCUGUUCUCCUUCCUGCCACUCUUCCUCCCCUACUCCUGUUCUCCUUCCUGCCACUCUUCCUCCCCCUCCUCCUGUUCCUCUUCCUGCCACUUUUCCUCCCCCUCCUCCUGUUCCUCUUCCUACCACUCUUCCUUCUCCUCCUCCUGUUCCUCUUCCCGCCACUCUUCCUCCCCAUCCUCCUGUUUCCCUUCCCGCCACUUUUCUUCCGCCUCCUCCUGUUCCUCUUCCCACCACUCUUCCCCCUCCUCCUCCUGCUCCUCUCCCACCACUCUCCGCCCUCCUCCUCCUGCUCCCCUUCCCGCCACUCUUGCCCCUCCUCCUCCUGCUCCUCUUCCUGCCACUCUUCUUCCUGUUCCUCUUCCCGCCACUCUUCCUCCUCCUCCUGUUCCUCUUCCUGCCACUCUUCCCCCUCCUCCUCCUGCUCCUUUUCCUGCCACUCUUCCUCCUGUUCCUCUUCCCGCCACUCUUCCUCCUCCUCUUGCUCCCCUUCCCGCCACUCUUACCCCUCCUCCUCCUGCUCCUCGUCCUGCCACUCUUCUUCCUGUUCCUCUUCCCGCCACUCUUCCUCCUCCUCCUGUUCCUCUUCCUGCCACUCUUCCCCCUCCUCCUCCUGCUCCUCUUCCUGCCACUCUUCCUCCUGUUCCUCUUCCCGCCACUCUUCCUCCUCCUCCUGUUCCUCUUCCUGCCACUCUUCCCCCUCCUCCUCCUGCUCCUCUUCCUGCCACUCUUCCUCCUGUUCCUCUUCCCGCCACUCUUCCUCCUCCUCCUGUUCCUCUUCCUGCCACUCUUCCCCCUCCUCCUCCUGCUCCUCUUCCUGCCACUCUUCUUCCUGUUCCUCUUCCCGCCACUCUUCCCCCUCCUCCUCCUGCUCCUCUUCCUGCCACUCUUCCUCCUGUUCCUCUUCCCACCACUCUUCCUCCUCCUCCUGUUCCUCUUCCUGCCACUCUUCCCCCUCCUCCUCCUGCUCCUCUUCCUGCCACUCUUCCUCCUGUUCCUCUUCCCGCUACUCUUCCUCCUCCCCCUGUUCCUCUUCCCACCACUCUUCCUCCUCCUCCUGUUGCUCUUCCUGCCACUCUUCCCCCUCCUCCUCCUGUUCCUCUUCUCACCACUCUUUCUCCUCCUGUUCCUUUCCUUGCUGCUUUUCCUUCCUUUUGUUCUCCUCUUCCUUCUGCCAUCACUAUCAUUAUCAUCAUAGCUGUCACUUAUUAAGCUCUUCAGUUUAUCAGCUUUCCUUGAAUUCAUUCAGUUCUCAUAAUGACCCUAUAGCUAGGUAAUGUUAUUAUACCCAUCCUAGAGAUUAAGAAACUAGGGUACAGAGAGCAUAUGUUAUUUGUGUAAGGUCACACAACUAGUUAAGUGGUAGAGCCUAAUUAAAACUCAGAUCUCACUGCCUCAGGGAUCUUCCUAAGAAAUAAAUCUGACCACAUACCUUCCUGGUUAGAAUCCUCCAUCAGUCAGCUCCUAUCUGCCGUGGUCUGUGAGGAUGGUAAGAACUACUGUUUACUGGACUCUUCUCCAUGCCAGGCCCUGGACAAUGUGGUUUAUUUGCAUCAUCUCAGCCAGCCAUCUCCACAACCCUACAAGGCAGGUACUAUGAGUAGUAGUAAGCAGUAGAGCCGCAUUUUGGACUGAAGGUGUCUCACUUUAACCAUUGCACUAUAACACCUCCCAUUUAUUCAUUGAUUCAGCAAAUCCAAAGCAAUCACCAACAUCAUGUGGAGUCCCAUUCUUCAAGCACAGUCUCACUCACUUGACAGCUCCCUUUCCCAGUGCUUUCCUUCACAUCCAGCCAGUCUAGUACCAGGGACUGAAUGUCACCCAUGGGAGAGAAGCUACAGCUGAGGUGGUAACACAUGGUGUCACCUUAGUAGCAUCUCAGUGCUGCUUCCCAUUCCUGUGUCCUGUCUGGGGUCCUUGAUCAUCUCAGAUCUCUACCCUCAUCAUCUUCAAUUCCACUGUACCUCCAUCCUAUUCCAAAGAAAUUGCGUGUCCAGCUGCACAGGGAAAAUGAAGGUUGUCACCAGCCAAGAACUCUCAGCUUCCUGCUUCCCAUCUACAAACUUACCUGCAUCCCCAUUCAUCCCUGCUUCCUCCUCUACCAUCUCUCCUGUGCCUCUGCCAUUCAUGGUCAGUUCUCUCCUGUCCUGGAUACCAUUUCCCUUCACCUUCUCAGGACUGUCUUCAUUCCUUUGUCUCCUUUCUCACCUCUUUGCCGGGUCCUCCUCUCACAUCUAUGAAUGUAUUUGGAUCUCUUUCACCUUAAAAAUAAAAGCCCUCUCUUUAGCUUAUAUUUACCUCUCUUCUUUUCUCUUUCAAGUUUCUGGGAAAAGUCAUCGCCUGUCCCAGUGUCUCCCUGUUUGCCAUCUGUUUCUCAGCUUCUCCAUCAUGGCUUCCAAAGCCACUCUCACCUGGCAGUGACCUUCUGAUUCUAAAUCCAGCAGACUCAACCUCUGCCCUCCCUUUAAAGGAGCAGCUUGUCAGCAAGCAUCCAGUGAGCAUUUACUGUGUAGUGGGCACAGUGCUGGGUUCUAGGGAUAGCCCCUGGUUCUUAAAACUCAUGGCCAAAACCUGGGAAGCAUCCUGAUUCCACCAUUGCCUUUGCCUUCCAUAUUCAACUCUUCAGUCUCCAAAUCUUUCAUUCUCCCUUCUAAAUCUGUCUGGCUUGGAUUAUUUCAGCAGCUUUCUGUCUGUUUCCCUGCCUCCAGUCAAGUCUCUCUCCAAUCCAUUCUCUACAUCUGUAUUCUAAAGAAUCCUCCUAAAGUGACCAGGUGCUUCAUUCCCCUGCUUUGGAUCCCCAUUUCCUAGAUGCAGUGGUUCUCAAAGUUCCUUCUCAUACCAGCAGCACCAAUAUCACCUGGCAACUUGUCGGAUGUACAUUUUUCAGUGGGGGCCUCACCUUAGAGCUUCUGAAUGAGAAACUCUGGUUGGGCCCAGCGUUCUCUUUUAAUAAGACCUCUGGAUGAUUUGCUUAGGCUCAAGCUCAAGAACCAAUGGCCUGCAGGAUAAAGCUUCAAUUCCACAGCACAGAACUCCAUGAUCUGGCCCCCUUCCAAGCCUUCCCUUCUCCUUGCCACUUGUUUUGUUUUGUUUUGUUUGAAGUGGAGUUUGCUCUGUCACCCAGGCGGGAGUGCAGUGGCACGAUCUCAGCUCGCUGAAACCUCCGCCACCCCCUCCAGGUUCAAGUGAUUCUCCUGCCUCCACCUCCCAAGUAGCUGAGAUUACAGGUGCCCGCCACCACGCCUGGCUAAUUUUUGUAUUUUUAGUAGAGAUGAGGUUUCGCCAUGUUGGCCAGGCUGCUCUCAAACUCCUGACCUCAGGUGAUCUGCCUGCCUCAGCCUCCCAAAGUGUUGGGAUUACAGGUGUGAACCACUGUGCCCGGCCCAUGCCACUCUUUAGCACCCACCAUGUACUCUCCACUCUGGCUAUAUGGACCUAUGGAUCCUAUUUCACGCCUCUGUGUUCUACCUGUUUCCCUACCCAUGGAUGUAUGAGAUGCUCCUCUUCUUAUAAGCCUCAGGAGGGCAGCAGCUGUCUUGUUGAUCUCUGUAAGCCCAUCACCUCCAGCAGUGUUUGAGGCAUAGUUGGUAUACUUAAGUGAAAAAGCAGAUGUGGAAACUGAGGCCCAGAGUGCAGCAGUACCUUCGAGGAGAGUGGGGAUUCUAACCCCAAACUCCUGCCUCCCAGUCAGGCUCUUUCCUCUCAACUAGGCUGCCUCCUUUCAUUGCCCUGGAAGGUCUUUCUUUUAGGUUCAGACCCUUGCAUCCUUUUGCUGUCUUCUUGCCUCUCCAGGGCAUCUCUUUCCUCUUAGCCAUGUUUGAUCUUCUUUAUGCAGUUCUGAGAUCAUUCUCCUUGAUAAAGAAAUGAGAACCGAACAGUCCCUGGCGCUCUGCCUUUCAGCUGCCUGUUGGCAUCACAUGGACCGCCCCAAGCCGGCUCUUCCUUUUGUUCAUCGCUUUUUUCCAAAUAUAGCUUUCAAAAAGUUUUCUGACCCUCUCCUCAUAGCACACAUCAAAAUAAAUUCCAAACAGACUAAAAAGUGAAAUAUAAAAAUACAACCAAAGGGAAUUUUAAAGUAAGGAUAGAAAUCAAAUCCCUGGAGGGAAAGAACUUUCAAGACACAAGUGCUAGAAGAAAUCAAAUUUGAUAACAUAUUAGAAUUUCAAUUUAACACAAAAAGACUGCCACACAACUUUGAGAAACAUAUUUAGAACAUAUGGCAGGCAAAGGGUUAUUAUGAGAGUUAACAAGAAAGCCAUUAGAAUCCCAGCAGAUAAUGGACAGGAAACUGAACAGAUCACACAGAAAGAAAGAUAACUAGUAAACAACAGAAAUAUGUUUAACCUUCCUAGCAGUCAGAGAAAUUCAUGUAAAGGAAACAGGCUGCCAUGUAUCACCUACCAUGUUUUCAAAUAAUGUGUUAAAUUAUCCUGCAUGAUGAUGCCAAGAGUGCAGUGAUGGUUGUGUCAAAGGCUACUGGUCGGAGUACAAAUAGGGACCAGUUUUAUGGAAAGGAAAUGGAACUUGGUACCGAGAGCCAUCACCCAGAGGCAGGAAAAGUCUGUGCACAAAGAUUUUUAUUGUAGUGUUACUUUAUAUUUUGUAGUGUUAUUUAUAAUAGCCAAACCCAAAUAUUACCUAAGGAGUUUUUUUCUGUGAGUUAUGGUCUCACUACAUGGUGGAGUAUAAAGCAGUAGCACAGCGGUCCUGCCGAGGGUGUGGGCAGCUGGACCAGCCAGCACAGCUGCUAUCCCCAAACCUUCAGUGCAGGCAGGAUUGGCAGGUAAAGCACUGGCCUCAGUGUUAGGAACUGAAAACAAAUCUCUUCUUCUGCCACAAUUCACAUCUUUGAGUUUCAUUUUCUUCAUCUAUAAAACGGAAAUCAUGAAGGCUUCUCUGCAUAGCUACCUGUUAUUCUGCUAUAAGAACUAGUAGGACAAUGCACAGGGCAACAGUGACACACUGUGCUCAUUUGCAAUGACAGUCACCUUCUGAGAAGUGAGAAUGGGCACAAGAAAUAUUGCCUGCCCACUGGGCAGAAUCCCAGACCACAGGAUGAGGAGUAAGAGUGUCGGCGAGAGCAACAGGGCCUGGGCCCAAGGGUACAGAUGCCACCUGAUCAGGAGGGUCCUGCCACCUUGUUUCUUGGCCUUCAGGAUACAGAUGAACCUGCAUGUUUUGGGCAUAGAGAACAACAUUGGCAAAGAGCAUGGUGUAUUUAGUGAAUUAAAAAUAAUUCAGUAUAACCAGGGUGUGGCAUGGGCAUGGUACUGCCCUUUGACCUGAGAGAAGCAUCUGCCCCGGGCCCCACUGUGGUGCUCCUCUGGCCACAGCCUUUGCCGUGGAGUGAAGAGGAAUAUGCAGAGCCAAGAGGGAUGUACCCACCCCAGGUCCAUCUGCCUUGAGAGACCACUAUCAGAGACGGGGUUUCACCAUAUUGCCCAGGCUGGUCUCAAACUCGUCAGUUCAAGUGAUCUGCCCACCUCAGCCUCGCACGGUGCUAGAACAUAUUUAACAGCUUGAUAGCUUGCCUCAUAACUUUCGGAUAUUUAGAAUUAAAUUUUAGACAUGUGAUAUGUGUGUCAUGUGACAUGGUGGCAGUGGCUGGAGAUGAGGCUAGGUGAGCAGGGGACAGAUGGUGAAGGGUCUUAAAAGCCAAAGUCUCAUCAAGGAGCCUGGACCUUAUCCUGAGGACCAAUAAUAGCAGAAGCUAACAAGAGCUGACUUUGUGCCAAACAUAUUAUAUGCAUGACUUUAAACUGUCAUAACACAAAAACACUAUAAAGGAGAGCUAGUAUUACUGCCCUUAUUUUAUAGGAGAGGAUAAUGAGACUUUGAAGGGUAAACAACUUGUUUAGGGGUACAGAGUUAGAGUAGUUGGGGGUGUGAGGGUUCACAAUCAGACCUGCACUCUUAAUUGUCAACACAAGCUGUUGCAGUGGGCAGUGGAAAGCCACUGAAGAUUUUCAGCCUGAGAAUGUCGAGAUCAGAUUUGUGCAGGGAUGUGAAUAAACUGAAGGGAAAGCAAGAGGGAGUCAGAGAGAGCUGAUGGCUGUUAGAGUCACCCCAGGAGAGUUGGUGGCCCGUCCUAAGGCAGUAGCAGCAGGGAGCAUAGGCGUGGGCACAUCUGCCUACUCUUGCUGUGAAAGCCUACCAUGGUUAAUCUCUAUUCCCAGACCUGUGAGCACACCAGGAAACAUUCUCUCAGGAGCCUGGCGGGGAAAGUGCUUUCUUCCCAGAUGUUUUCCCCAUUGCUCCUGGAUGUUCUGACAAGAGCAGAACAGGUUGCAUCAGCAGGAGUCUGGCAGCUCCACACAGAGGAGCUGGGUCCAGACUUGACUGAGGCACGGACAUUCCUGAAGGAGGAGGGAUUCGACAAGGAAUGCAGCCCACAGCUGGCCUUGAGGAGAAGCUGGACCAUGCCGGGCCAGCAGCACUGGCUGGCUUUAUAGGCCUCUGUUGUGUCCUGUGGAUUGGGGAUAUGAGAUGUGAGAAGCCUUGGGCCAGAUGUGGACACUUGCAGGCACAGGCCUUGUGGAAUAGGACUGUGUGCUGGCAGCAGGGCUGGCAGUGUCUCCAGCAGCAGGCACACCUCCCCACGGGGAGCCAGGGGGAAAGGCUGGCUCUCCCAUUCAGAUGUAUGCACGUGUGCAGGUGUGGAUGUGUGGAUGUGUUCUGGCCUCUCCGGUGGCUGACGUUGCUGACCACACCCUCUGCUUCACUCUCCUGGCCUCUGUGACACUCACUAUAAUCAUAAUAAGUAAGAUUUAUUGAGCUUGCUAUAUACCAGACCCCGUGCCAGAUGCUGUAAAAUGCACGGCAUCUCUAAUCCUUACAGCUAUCUGGGAAGUAGGUCUUGUCAGCCCUAUUGUAUGCACAAGGAACUUGCUUAAAGAGAGGACACAAUGUGCCCCGGGUCACAGAGAUGUGGAGCUGGGAUUGAGCCUCUGUUUUUCACACUCCCAAAGCCUCUGCAGUGGUACACAGAUGUUCUGUGUAUGUGCCUGUGUACGUUUUUCUGAGAAGAGGAGUUACAGCUUGUUUUUUAGGAAACAGGCUGAGAUUUUGUUGGUACUUGAUGUUUUUGUGGCUGGGGAAACACGGAAAUGCCCAAACCAUAUCUUGGUCUUACUGUUUCUCCUUUCCCUGAAAUCUCUGAGGAAACUACACCAGGACAGUGGCAGAUGAGAAAGAAUAAAAGGAGCGCUGGACUGUCGCUGUGUCGGGCUCCCAGUUCUCCAGUGCAGGGCUCCCUGGGAUUGUGACCUAAAACAGGGCUCCUUCCCCAGGGUCCCAACAUGACUCUCAGCCGCUGCUGGCUGAGUAAGAACCUAGGGCAGUAAGACCUCAGCGCAGUGAGCCACGAAGGGCAGAGGCACAGGUGGCCUGCUCCAAGGAGGAGGCCCUGCCCAGCUCACCCACUGCCACGCAGAGGCAGCAAGUCAGGAAGGGCUGCCUUUGUGGGAGAGAAUUUUCACCUCACACCAGUAAUCGUGACACACUCAGUAUCCUCAAAUCUAAGCAGUCACAUCAGGCAUUUCUCCUCCCAGGAAAGAGUAAAGAUGAGAAGAGAGGUGGCAGCUUUCCCCUCCCCAUCAGAUCGCCAAGGGGGUUGAGUUAAUAAGCGAAUUUCCUACCAUUUGAGAUGGUGAUUAAAUCCGGGACUUUUAGCAUAUGGAACAGACCAAGAGGGAUUGUUUCAGGGAGGGCAUUUCAUGUGCAGAAAAACAGAUUGUGAAGUCAAACGCUGCUCAGAUUCUCGCCAGCUGUGCGUGUUCCCUGACAAGUCCCCUCACCAUUCUGGGCCUUAGUCCCCUCUGAAAAAUGGGACAUGGGCACCAGAGAGACUGCUAAGAGCUCCCUUAGUGCUCUUAGAGGAGACAGGGGAGGUCUCCUUUAUCUUUGACCCCUAACCCCUCAGACUUCCAGAGGCGGGAACUGCAGCAAUGAUACAAAUGGUGUGGUGGAAAGAAUGCCGUUUUGGAGUCAGGACACUUGGGUUUGAAUCCACUUGCAGCCACUUGCAGGCUGCUUGACCUUGAACGUGUCGUGUCAUUUCAUCUUGGGACCUGUACCUGUGAAGUGGGUGAAAAUUAAAGAGAUAAUAAAGUAACAGUCGUGAAA